rnacentral:rRNA from 1 species
GAUGAACGCUGGCGGUAUGCCUAACACAUGCAAGUCGUACGAGGGUUUUUAACUCUAGUGGCGGACGGGUGAGUAACACGUGAGAAUUUGCCUUUAGGAGGGGGACAACAAUUGGAAACGAAUGCUAAUACCCCAUAUGCUUUCGAGUGAAAUGGAUUUUAUCCGCCUAGAGAGAAGCUCGCGGCUGAUUAGCUUGUUGGUAAGGUAAGAGCUUACCAAGGCGACGAUCAGUAUCUGGUUUGAGAGGACGAUCAGACACACUGGAACUGAGACACGGUCCAGACUCCUACGGGAGGCAGCAGUGGGGAAUUUUCCGCAAUGGGCGAAAGCCUGACGGAGCAAUACCGCGUGAGGGAAGAAUGCCUAUGGGUUGUAAACCUCUUUUUUCAGGGUAGGAAUAAAAUGACGUGUACCUGAAGAAUAAGCAUCGGCUAACUCCGUG